GGAAAGAAUAAGAAAAAUAAUUUUUGUAAUUUUAGUAAUUUUUAAUGAAAAUAAAGUAAAGACUAAAGAGAAAAGUACUGUGAAGGAAAGUUGUUAAAACUUUUUAUAGAAGAAGUAAAAUUUUGUGCCUCGUGUAUCAGAAAAAGUUUAUAUAGUUUAGUUACAAUAAGUAUCUCGAAAUAAAAUACAGUAAUUUUUAUAAAAUUUUCUUUUUAGAAAAAAAGAAUUUAAUAUAAAAUUUAAAGUGAAAUGCUAGCUGAGUUUUAUGAUAUCUAGUUUUUUUAAAAAUAAAUUUAAUUUAAUUUUUAUAAAGAAAAAGUUAUAAAAUUAAAUGGUAGGGGGGAUUAGCUCUUUACGGAAAAGAUAAUGAAAUAGUUAAAUAAAAGUAAAUUAUAUAUAAAUUAGGCUUAGAAGUAGCUAUAUUGAAAAAGUGUUUUAACUAAAUUAUAAUUGCUUGAAUAUUUAAAAUAAAACUUUUCUUAGGUAUAAAAAAAUGGCUUAAACAAAACAAAACAAGAUAUGAUGAUUUUAUUAGUAAAAUUUAUUGAGUAAAUAAAGAUAUUAAAAGGUAAAAAUUGUUUAAAAAAAUAAGUA
rnacentral:rRNA from 1 species